GACGAACGCUGGCGGCGUGGAUUAGGCAUGCAAGUCGAACGGUAUCAUCCUUUCGGGGGUGAGAGAGUGGCGAACUGGUGAGUAACACGUAGGUUAUCUACCCUCAAGACGGGGACAACCCAGGGAAACUUGGGCUAAUACCGGAUGUGAGCAACUUUUAGUUGUUUGAAAGGUGGCGUAAGCUGUCGCUUGGGGAUGAGCCUGCGUCCCUAUUAGUUAGUUGGUGAGGUAACGGCUCACCUAGGCAAUGAUAGGUAGGCGGCCUUAACGGGUGGUCGCCCACACUGGGAUUGAGAUACGGCCCAGACUCCUACGGGAGGCAGCAGUCGAGAAUAGUCUACAAUGGUCGGAAGACUGAUAGUGCGACGCCGCGUGAACGAUGAAUCCCUUCGGGGUGUAAAGUUCUUUUAUAUGUGAGCAGUGCUUCUUAUAUUAACAGUAUGGGGAGAGAGAUAUUAGCAUAUGAAUAAGCAACGGCUAACUCCGUGCCAGCAGCCGCGGU
rnacentral:rRNA from 1 species